AAAAAACGCAAAAAAGAAAGAAAAAAAGGGGAAAGAGAAAAACUGCCGCCCCAUGUUCACAACCUCCUUUUCCUUGUUCUUCUUGCCCAGCUCUUGUUCUUUGACUCCU
rnacentral:ribozyme from 14 species